rnacentral:rRNA from 1 species
CCUACGGGAGGCAGCAGUGAGGAAUAUUGGUCAAUGGCCGUAAGGCUGAACCAGCCAAGUCGCGUGAAGGAAGAAGGAUCUAUGGUUUGUAAACUUCUUUUAUAGGGGAAUAAAGGUAUCCACGUGUGGAUAUUUGCAUGUACCCUAUGAAUAAGCAUCGGCUAACUCCGUGCCAGCAGCCGCGGUAAUACGGAGGAUGCGAGCGUUAUCCGGAUUUAUUGGGUUUAAAGGGUGCGUAGGUUGUUUUUUAAGUCAGCGGUGAAAGUUUGUGGCUCAACCAUAAAAUUGCCGUUGAAACUGGAAGACUUGAGUGUGUUUGAGGUAGGCGGAAUGCGUGGUGUAGCGGUGAAAUGCAUAGAUAUCACGCAGAACUCCGAUUGCGAAGGCAGCUUACUAAGCCAUAACUGACACUGAUGCUCGAAAGUGUGGGUAUCAAACAGGAUUAGAUACCCGUGUAGUC